UUUUCAAAACUCACUUCUCUCUUUUUUUCAUCUUUUCCCUCUUUCAUUCUCUCACUGUAUUCCCUUUUCUCUCUUACAUUCUGUCUCUCUUCCGUUUUCCAUUCAAACCCUAGCCGCCGUCAACCAUUUCUCUGGCCACCACCACCUUAAACGAACAAGUCUUCUCUUCCUUCGUCUUCUCUUUUUUUUGGAGAGAGUGAGGUGGUAGUUAGCCCCUGUAACAACCUGAGAUUCACCUUUGAUGACUUUGUUGAAUUUCAAUUUGGCACCAGAUUGCUUGUCGUACUCAGUGACAGCGAAAUUGGAGAUCUCGAUCACGUGUGAUUCGUUGAUGUCGGAGAUUGGGGUAUAACCACCGACUGUCGGCGUAGAUAGUUUUCUUGCAAAUGCAGAGGCUAAUAGAAGAAGUGUGAGAAGAACUAGGGUUUGGGAUUUCAUGAUUUCUAAGUCCCAAUACGCAUUAUGGGUUUUUCUUUGCUGAUGAUGUUGUUCCAAGCAAAGAAUUUCAACGGCUAGUGUAUGUUUUCGCCGGUAACAUCUUCAGUUUUAUUGUUAUAUUUGAUGAGGUGCACUAUGUCAAUGAUGUGUGAAGUACCGUCGUGUAAGAACCGAGGUACCGUCGUGUAAAAGAAAUUUCACAGUGGUUUCUUCAACUACUUCUCUACUACUCAGGCCUUCAUAAAAACAGUUGGAAUCAUAUACAAGAAUAUUCAGGAUGGUGUUUUUAAUGUAUCAAAUAAGUUUAGAUUCUUAUUCAAAGGCUGAGAGACGGAUCGUGCAGGAGGCACAAAUAGCUGAAAAAGCUGCUUCUAAAGGAUUCAGAAGGACUAUUCUACCGCUUUACGGCCUCGCUGUGGAGAAUGUGGUGUAAGUAAGUUCUACCCGUUAGCAUUCAACUUAAAGUUCAUCUUCUAGGUCCAAUAAGUUUAUUGAACAAUAAGUUCUAAUCAAGCUGAUUAUUUAAUUUCAGAUUUUAUACACAUACAUAGAUGAGAAUUUGGAUGUGAUCAAAUUAUAGAGAUAUUUCUUGCACAUACCCGUGUAUACAGUUUUGUAUAUAUUUUGAAGAAAAACUUAUAUUUCGAGACAUGUGUUACGGGAUUUUGAUGCUAAAUUGUUAAACUCAGAUAUCUUCAGUGAAAUGUUGGCUUCUAAUGACAAUGAAAAAACCAGCAAGGAUGUAUAUGAUAACUCAAUAAACCUUAGAACCUGGCAAUUGAAUAAAUUGGCUAGAGGCUUAAAAACUGGAUGCUUCAAAACAAGUGUAUGUGUUUUGAGUAUAAAUUUGAUAUAUUGUCAAUUAUCGGCUUCAAAUUCUUCUGACUUUACUGCACGUUGGAAUUUUUGCAGCUUUCAACUUUCCUUCGACUGUUAUUUUCUCGGCUAAUUAUAGUUCAAUGUCGCCGCAAGUUUGUCAGUCGUAUCUGCAGGAUCAUUAUCAUGUUCCAAGCUGAAGAAGUUGAAGCGCUUCUAUCCAAUACAAAGGAAUUAUGAACCAGUUUCUUCGAAUUUCCCAUAACCUUCAGUCCUUCACAUGAUUUAUAUAUUGUAUUUGAAUGUACUGGUUUUUUCUUCAUAUGAUCCAUUGUAACUAUGUUUGUUUUUACAUGAUAGAAUUUGUUAUUUAGGUGGAGGUUUGGCUUGAAUUGAAACUAGCUGGAUUAAUAUUGUGCUGGUUUAGUUUCAUGGAUGUUUAUGCAAUGGUUCUGUCAACAAUUCUAAACUAAUGCCACCACUUUCAUUUGUCUUGUGC